CCUACGGGUGGCAGCAGUGAGGAAUAUUGGUCAAUGGACGAGAGUCUGAACCAGCCAAGUAGCGUGAAGGAUGACUGCACUAUGGGUUGUAAACUUCUUUUAUAUGGGAAUAAAAUGUUCCACGUGUGGGAUUUUGUAUGUACCAUAUGAAUAAGGAUCGGCUAACUCCGUGCCAGCAGCCGCGGUAAUACGGAGGAUCCGAGCGUUAUCCGGAUUUAUUGGGUUGAAAGGGAGCGUAGGUGGAUUGUUAAGUCAGUUGUGAAAGUUUGCGGCUCAACCGUAAAAUUGCAGUUGAAACUGGCAGUCUUGAGUACAGUAGAGGUGGGCGGAAUUCGUGGUGUAGCGGUGAAAUGCUUAGAUAUCACGAAGAACUCCGAUUGCGAAGGCAGUUCACUGGACUGCAACUGACACUGAGGCUCGAAAGUGUGGGUAUCAAACAGGAUUAGAUACCCGAGUAGUC
rnacentral:rRNA from 1 species